GAUGAACGCUGGCGGCGUGCCUAAUACAUGCAAGUCGAGCGAACAGACGAGGAGCUUGCGCCUCUGACGUUAGCGGCGGACGGGUGAGUAACACGUGGAUAACCUACCUAUAAGACUGGGAUAACUUCGGGAAACCGGAGCUAAUACCGGAUAAUAUAUUGAACCGCAUGGUUCAAUAGUGAAAGACGGUUUUGCUGUCACUUAUAGAUGGAUCCGCGCCGCAUUAGCUAGUUGGUAAGGUAACGGCUUACCAAGGCAACGAUGCGUAGCCGACCUGAGAGGGUGAUCGGCCACACUGGAACUGAGACACGGUCCAGACUCCUACGGGAGGCAGCAGUAGGGAAUCUUCCGCAAUGGGCGAAAGCCUGACGGAGCAACGCCGCGUGAGUGAUGAAGGUCUUCGGAUCGUAAAACUCUGUUAUUAGGGAAGAACAAAUGUGUAAGUAACUAUGCACGUCUUGACGGUACCUAAUCAGAAAGCCACGGCUAACUCCGUG
rnacentral:rRNA from 1 species